rnacentral:rRNA from 1 species
CAUAGGUUAAUGAGGCGAACCGGGGGAACUGAAACAUCUAAGUACCCCGAGGAAAAGAAAUCAACCGAGAUUCCCCCAGUAGCGGCGAGCGAACGGGGAGCAGCCCAGAGCCUGAAUCAGUGUGUGUGUUAGUGGAAGCGUCUGGAAAGGCGCGCGAUACAGGGUGACAGCCCCGUACACAAAAAUGCACAUGCUGUGAGCUCGAUGAGUAGGGCGGGACACGUGGUAUCCUGUCUGAAUAUGGGGGGACCAUCCUCCAAGGCUAAAUACUCCUGACUGACCGAUAGUGAACCAGUACCGUGAGGGAAAGGCGAAAAGAACCCCGGCGAGGGGAGUGAAAAAGAACCUGAAACCGUGUACGUACAAGCAGUGGGAGCCUCUUUAUGGGGUGACUGCGUACCUUUUGUAUAAUGGGUCAGCGACUUAUAUUCUGUAGCAAGGUUAACCGAAUAGGGGAGCCGAAGGGAAACCGAGUCUUAACUGGGCGUUAAGUUGCAGGGUAUAGACCCGAAACCCGGUGAUCUAGCCAUGGGCAGGUUGAAGGUUGGGUAACACUAACUGGAGGACCGAACCGACUAAUGUUGAAAAAUUAGCGGAUGACUUGUGGCUGGGGGUGAAAGGCCAAUCAAACCGGGAGAUAGCUGGUUCUCCCCGAAAGCUAUUUAGGUAGCGCCUCGUGAAUUCAUCUCCGGGGGUAGAGCACUGUUUCGGCAAGGGGGUCAUCCCGACUUACCAACCCGAUGCAAACUGCGAAUACCGGAGAAUGUUAUCACGGGAGACACACGGCGGGUGCUAACGUCCGUCGUGAAGAGGGAAACAACCCAGACCGCCAGCUAAGGUCCCAAAGUCAUGGUUAAGUGGGAAACGAUGUGGGAAGGCCCAGACAGCCAGGAUGUUGGCUUAGAAGCAGCCAUCAUUUAAAGAAAGCGUAAUAGCUCACUGGUCGAGUCGGCCUGCGCGGAAGAUGUAACGGGGCUAAACCAUGCACCGAAGCUGCGGCAGCGACGCUUAUGCGUUGUUGGGUAGGGGAGCGUUCUGUAAGCCUGUGAAGGUGUGCUGUGAGGCAUGCUGGAGGUAUCAGAAGUGCGAAUGCUGACAUAAGUAACGAUAAAGCGGGUGAAAAGCCCGCUCGCCGGAAGACCAAGGGUUCCUGUCCAACGUUAAUCGGGGCAGGGUGAGUCGACCCCUAAGGCGAGGCCGAAAGGCGUAGUCGAUGGGAAACAGGUUAAUAUUCCUGUACUUGGUGUUACUGCGAAGGGGGGACGGAGAAGGCUAUGUUGGCCGGGCGACGGUUGUCCCGGUUUAAGCGUGUAGGCUGGUUUUCCAGGCAAAUCCGGAAAAUCAAGGCUGAGGCGUGAUGACGAGGCACUACGGUGCUGAAGCAACAAAUGCCCUGCUUCCAGGAAAAGCCUCUAAGCAUCAGGUAACAUCAAAUCGUACCCCAAACCGACACAGGUGGUCAGGUAGAGAAUACCAAGGCGCUUGAGAGAACUCGGGUGAAGGAACUAGGCAAAAUGGUGCCGUAACUUCGGGAGAA